rnacentral:rRNA from 1 species
UACGAAGGGGGCUAGCGUUGUUCGGAAUUACUGGGCGUAAAGCGCACGUAGGCGGAUUGUUAAGUGAGGGGUGAAAUCCCAGGGCUCAACCCUGGAACUGCCUUUCAUACUGGCAAUCUAGAGUUCGAGAGAGGUGAGUGGAAUUCCGAGUGUAGAGGUGAAAUUCGUAGAUAUUCGGAGGAACACCAGUGGCGAAGGCGGCUCACUGGCUCGAUACUGACGCUGAGGUGCGAAAGCGUGGGGAGCAAACAGG